AUACUAUGUGGGAUUGAGUAUUACCAACACUAGAUUAUCGUAAACUACAGGGAAAUUACCCGUGCACUGUUCUUGGGUGAACCUCUGUAUUUUAUUGGUACCUGAAGGUUCAGUAAAUGAUGCUACAUUU